GCAUUACCAAACUGGUUCCGAACCCAUCUGGUAGAGAACCGGUGAAGCUAUUUUGAGUGAGGAAAAGCUGCUUCAAUUUCUUACAUUGAAGAAGAGAUGAAGGUACUGAAUCAUUGAAAGAAUUCUGUGAAAGAUCAAGGAUCCGCAGGUCCUUGAGGUUCCCUAUCUCGACAGGAACUGGCCCGAAAAAUGAAUUUCCUGAGAGGACCAAGCUUGUUAACCCUGUUGCGCUAAAGAGGUCAACCGGCAAGCUUCCAUAAAAGUAAUUAUUCUUGAGAUUAAGAUAGCGAAGAGAAGCGAGCCUCCCGGUGUCGAGAUAUAGGAAUCCAGAAAGUCUUUUAUCUGGAAUAUUGAGAAAAAUGACUCGUCCUUCUUUGCAUCGAACUCCAUACCACGAACACGGGUUGGUGUCUGACGAGUUCCAGUUAUCCAGACAACCGGCAGUGGAGUUCCCUAAGGAUUGUUUGAAGGAUAGAAGAGCAAGGCCUUCAUCAUUUAAAGAACUAGCAAGUGCAAUACAAUGGGAUAUGAAGAAAGCCAGCAAAGGCAACAUAUUUUGCACAAGAAAUUGCAAAGAAGAUUGAAAGCUGUGAGAGAAUCUCUGUAAGACUCUGGCUUUUCU
rnacentral:misc_RNA from 1 species